AAUGCAGAUCACUGCGAGAGGAAAAAAAUCACCAUCUCUAUUAUAAUCUAUCGCUGCACUUGACUUGCUUCCCGAAUCGUUUAGCCUAGCUCGCUGUCACUUACUCGGCAGUUGAGGAGUGAACAAGACGAACGUCUGGGAUCUUGAGCGCCCCCUGCCAUGAGGCAAGAGAACUGCCUGCCUCACCUCGAACCUGUUCUCUGCCGUUUAUAAUCGCUCAUUACACGAAACACGUUACACAAACACAGUUGGUGACAAAAAGCACUGUACAUUAUAUACAUAAGCUAAAUUAUUGGAAAUAAGUUCACAUAUUAAAUUUGUUUAAACCAUUUUAUUGACGCCGUACAGCAACAUGCUCUCUCCGCUUAGCAGCCAGCGCAGAGCCAGGGGUUGCGCAAUCCAAGGUGAGGCAGAGCUCGCUGCUGCCUCACCGGCAUCGCUUCCAAGCAUUUGAAUGGGAAAAUAAGAAAAUUCAGCGAUUUUGAACAAAUAAAAAUCGAAAUUGGU